UACAGAGGUCUCGAGCGUUAGGCGGAAUCACUGGGCUUAAAGCGUGUGUAGGCGGAUUGGUAAGUACCUUGUGAAAUCCCACGGCUUAACCGUGGAACUGCUUGGUAUACUGGCCUGUCUUGAGCCAGCUAGGGGCGACCGGAACAAAUGGUGGAGCGGUGAAAUGCGUAGAUAUCAUUUGGAACGCCAAUGGUGAAAACAGGUCGCUGGGGCUGUGCUGACGCUGAGACACGAAAGCCAGGGGAGCAAACGGG
rnacentral:rRNA from 1 species